rnacentral:rRNA from 1 species
CAAUAGCGUAUAUUUAAGUUGUUGCAGUUAAAAAGCUCGUAGUUGGAUUUCGGGUGGGACGCAGCGGUCUCGCAUUGCGUUUGUACUGCUGCAGCCCUCCUUCUUGCCGGGGGCGGCCUCUCGGACUUCACUGUCUGGGGGUCAGAAUCGGCGAUGUUACUUUGAGUAAAUUAGAGUGUUCAAAGCAAGCUUACGCUCUGAAUAUAAUAGCAUGGGAUAACACGACAGGACUCUGGCCUAUCGUGUUGGUCUAUAGGACCAGAGUAAGGAUUAAGAGGGACAGUCGGGGGCAUUCGUAUUCCGUUGUCAGAGGUGAAAUUCUUGGAUUUACGGAAGACGAACAUCUGCGAAAGCAUUUGCCAAGGAUGUUUUCAUUGA